UCUGUCUCAUUCAAAUAUCGAACACUAGAAAACAUGAACGAGUAAAAUUCUGUCAAGAAAAAAUUCAUUCGUAUUCCGUUGGCCAAGAUACAAUAUUUAAAAUCGUACAAAAAAAAUUAAAGUUUUCUUAUUAGCUUAUAAAAAUAUAAAACUAACAACCCGCACAUAAAAUUGUGAAAAUUUCAAAAUGGAUUGUGCAUGCUGUAACCGUACCAUGGAAGGCUGCGCCUCAAUAAAAUGCAGUUUGUGUUCGUCGCAGUACCACCUGGAGUGCGUGAGCAGUGAGCACCUGGUACCUAGCACCAACAGCUGGCGGUGUCACCGAUGUGAAACCAUGAACUGUGCAGUGUUGGGGCCCAAGGUCGAAGCGGCGGUGCGUGCAUAGCGUCUGUGCUAUUGUAAAUUUGUAAAAUUGAUUGUCAUUUUACCUGAAUAAACCAUUGUUUAGUGAUGAA